rnacentral:lncRNA from 1 species
UUUAAUUAAAAAAAUUAAAUAGGAUUUAUUUGAUUAAUUUCACAUUUAAUCAACUAAUCCAUGGACCUACAUCUUAAUGAUUUAAUUAUAAUUUAACUCUUAAUUUAUAGAUUAUAUGUUCUGAUUAUGUUUGUAAUUUUUAACACAUUAUCUUUAUCCUCUAAUACAUAAAUAAGAAAAUAAUACGCUUCAUCGCACUUCUAUAUUGACAACAAUGUUCAUGUUAAUCGAAUUAAGACUCAGUCGAUUAAAAAUAUUUAUUAUUAUAAAAACUUUAAAGUAUCAAAUUAUGUUUAAUUUUCAAUUUCAGCAUAAUAGAGAGAGACAAAAACUAUAAUUAAACCGUCAUUUGGUUUUUUCAGGUGGAGUUAGUUGAGGGUUCUUCGUAUCUCGGCCAACCCCUUCCCUUCUCGAUGACAACAUUGAUUUGGAUAGAAGUAUUGGUGAUCGGAUUCAUCGAGUUCCAAAGGAACGCCGAGCUUGACCCGGAGAAGAGGUUGUACCCCGGAGGAAAGUACUUUGAUCCUCUCGGCCUAGCCGCCGACCCGGAGAAGAAAGCAACCCUACAAUUGGCUGAGAUCAAGCAUGCUCGCCUUGCCAUGGUUGCUUUCUUGGGGUUUGCUGUCCAAGCUGCUGCAACAGGCAAAGGCCCUCUCAACAAUUGGGCUACUCACUUGAGUGACCCCCUCCAUACUACCAUUAUUGACACUUUCACCUCUUAAAAAAAGCCAUAUUCCUUUGCUUUUAUGUAGAUUUUGCUCAAUGUACUAUUGUGUUAACAUUGUUAAGAAAAACUUGCGUAUGUUAA